rnacentral:hammerhead_ribozyme from 1 species
GCACUCCUGAUGAGUCCCAAAAUAGGACGAAACAGUCGUCCAGUGC